rnacentral:ncRNA from 1 species
UAAAAUACGAUGAAAAGAAGAGUACUAUUUUUAUAAAAUUGAUGAGAGAGUCUCGGUAGCUGAAAAGAGAUAAUUUUUGAAAAUAGGAAGAUGGUCUUUGAGUAGUUUAUUGGGAACGCCCAUUACAGCGUCAUGGUAUCGAUGAAUAUCAUCCGUACCUAUUGAGGAAAAUCUUGUAAGAGAUUUUUGAAUUAAAGGUGGUAACACGAUCAGUCGUCCUUUAC